CUUAGGACGAACGCUGGCGGCGUGCCUAACACAUGCAAGUCGAGCGGAGACAUACGACUGCGAUGAAGUUUCGGAUGGAAUCAAAGAUGUAUGUUUAGCGGCGGACGGGUGAGUAACGCGUGAGCAACCUGUCCUUCACAGGGGGAUAACACAGCGAAAGUUGUACUAAUACCGCAUAAGACCACGUCGGGACAUCCCGAAGGGGUCAAAGGAGCAAUCCGGUGAAGGGUGGGCUCGCGUCCGAUUAGAUAGUUGGUGAGGUAACGGCCCACCAAGUCGACGAUCGGUAGCCGACCUGAGAGGGUGAUCGGCCACAUUGGGACUGAGACACGGCCCAAACUCCUACGGGAGGCAGCAGUGGGGAAUAUUGGGCAAUGGGGGGAACCCUGACCCAGCAACGCCGCGUGAGGGAAGAAGGUUUUCGGAUCGUAAACCUCUGUCCUUGGUGAAGAGGAAGAGACGGUAGCCAAGGAGGAAGCCCCGGCUAACUACGUGCCAGCAGCAGC
rnacentral:rRNA from 1 species